rnacentral:rRNA from 1 species
UACGUAGGGGGCGAGCGUUGUCCGGAAUUACUGGGCGUAGAGGGCGCGUAGGCGGCCUUCUAAGUCAGACGUGAAAUCCCCCGGCUUAACCUGGGAACUGCGUCUGAUACUGGAGGGCUUGAGUAUGGGAGAGGGAUGUAGAAUUCCAGGUGUAGCGGUGAAAUGCGUAGAUAUCUGGAGGAAUACCGGUGGCGAAGGCGGCAUCCUGGACCAUUACUGACGCUGAGGCGCGAAAGCUAGGGGAGCAAACGGG